UACGUAGGGUGCGAGCGUUGUCCGGAAUUAUUGGGCGUAAAGAGCUUGUAGGUGGUUUGUCGCGUCUGCUGUGAAAAUCCGGGGCUCAACCCCGGACUUGCAGUGGGUACGGGCAGACUAGAGUGUGGUAGGGGAGACUGGAAUUCCUGGUGUAGCGGUGAAAUGCGCAGAUAUCAGGAGGAACACCGGUGGCGAAGGCGGGUCUCUGGGCAAUAACUGACGCUGAGGAGCGAAAGCGUGGGGAGCGAACAGG
rnacentral:rRNA from 1 species